UUCUGGCUCAGGAUGAACGCGGGCGGUAUGCUUUACACAUGCAAGUCGUACGAGAGUUUUUAACUCAAGUGGCGGACGGGUGAGUAACACGUAAGAAUUUGCCUUUAGGAGGGGGACAACAACUGGAAACGGUUGCUAAUACCCCAUAUGCUUUCGAGUGAAAUGGAUUUUUCCGCCUAAAGAGAAGCUUGCGGCUGAUUAGCUUGUUGGUAAGGUAAUGGCUUACCAAGGCGACGAUCAGUAUCUGGUUUGAGAGGACGAUCAGACACACUGGAACUGAGACACGGUCCAGACUCCUACGGGAGGCAGCAGUGGGGAAUUUUCCGCAAUGGGCGAAAGCCUGACGGAGCAAUACCGCGUGAGGGAUGACGGCCUAUGGGUUGUAAACCCCUUUUUUUCAGGGAGGAAUAAAAUGACGUGUACCUGAAGAAUAAGCAUCGGCUAACUCCGUGCCAGCAGCCGCGGUAAGACGGAGGAUGCAAGUGUUAUCCGGAAUCACUGGGCGUAAAGCGUCUGUAGGUGGUCAAAUAAGUCAACUGUUAAAUCUUGAGGCUCAACCUCAAAAUCGCAGUCGAAACUAUUAGACUAGAGUAUAGUAGGGGUAAAGGGAAUUUCCAGUGGAGCGGUGAAAUGCGUAGAUAUUGGAAAGAACACCGAUGGCGAAGGCACUUUACUGGGCUAUUACUAACACUCAGAGACGAAAGCUAGGGUAGCAAAUGGGAUUAGAUACCCCAGUAGUCCUAGCUGUAAACAAUGGAUACUAGAUGUUGGACAGAUCGACCUGUGCAGUAUCAAAGCUAACGCGUUAAGUAUCCCGCCUGGGAAGUAUGCUCGCAAGAGUGAAACU
rnacentral:rRNA from 1 species